rnacentral:rRNA from 1 species
UACGAAGGGGGCUAGCGUUGCUCGGAUUGACUGGGCGUAAAGGGCGCGUAGGCGGUUCGUACAGUCAGACGUGAAAUUCCUGGGCUCGACCUGGGGGCUGCGUUUGAUACGUGCGGACUUGAGUGCGGAAGAGGGUCGUGGAAUUCCCAGUGUAGAGGUGAAAUUCGUAGAUAUUGGGAAGAACACCGGUGGCGAAGGCGGCGACCUGGUCCGAUACUGACGCUGAGGCGCGAAAGCGUGGGGAGCAAACAGG